UGGGCGGGGCGGAGGGAGCCGGGAAGCGGAAGCGGCGAGCGCGCCUGGAGCUCAGCUGCGGGCAUGGGGGCGGCAGGAGCCGCAGAGCCCUCCCGAGAACGGGGCUGCCGGAGCGGGCGGCCGAGACAAAGGCGACGAAAUGAAUGCCGAACGCUUACGAAGAGAUAAAGGUUAUUUGGUACAUAUUGGUGGUCUCUGUCCUUCAGUAUCUGAGAUAUGCAUCUCUUGCUUUCCAAAAAAAAAAAAAAACAGUGAUGUAAAGAUGGCUGUGAAAGGAAUGAUGCCAAAAAGUAGGUAACAAGGCUUCCAGGCUCUCUUCAACGCCUCCAAGCUCCCCUUUCUCCAAACACAAAAGGAAGAUGAAAACUACAAAUCCCCAUCUGCCCACCCUGCAGUUCCUGGGAAGAGACAGUCCUCAAAUUGUUCCUGCUUAGACCCCUGAAGCCUGGAGAAGGAGAUGGGGACAGGUGUGGCAGCGGAACUGCAAAGAAAUGUCAAGCACAUGACUGCAGCUAGACAAUCCAAGGCAAGAUGAAUGUCAGAAGAUUUUGGCUUCCUGGAAAAAACUCACCAUGGACUUUGGUUAUUCAGAAUUAGCUACUUCUUCUGUAAGGCUAUCAGGAGCUAAGAGUUGAACAUGGUCAGCGUCAAAGUAUUCUGAGGGUGAGUGUAGAGUCAGAGCCACACAGAGCCCGAACCCUUUCUCCAUCUUCUGUUCCUUCCCUUGCAGGUAAUUUUAUGAUCUUCUUCACCAGAAUACAGGGAAGGGACAAAAAUAUAUGGAAUUCAAUUUUGUUACUUAUUAACAAAAGCCAACAAAAAGCGUUUAAGUGAGCUUUUGUAAAUUAUCUGCUUCCAUUUUUACAAAUAGCAUUUAAAGAAUAUGGAGAAAUAGGUAUAAAGAAAUUUUAUCUAAAUUAACAACAACAA